ACAAGUUGGCCCAGCCUGGUUAAGGUAUAGGGAGGGAUCGCGGGUUCAAAUCCCGCACUUCGCA
rnacentral:tRNA from 1 species